rnacentral:rRNA from 1 species
GACGAACGCUGGCGGCGUGCUUAACACAUGCAAGUCGAACGGAAAGGCCCUGCUUUUGUGGGGUGCUCGAGUGGCGAACGGGUGAGUAACACGUGAGUAACCUGCCCUUGACUUUGGGAUAACUUCAGGAAACUGGGGCUAAUACCGGAUAGGAGCUCCUGCUGCAUGGUGGGGGUUGGAAAGUUUCGGCGGUUGGGGAUGGACUCGCGGCUUAUCAGCUUGUUGGUGGGGUAGUGGCUUACCAAGGCUUUGACGGGUAGCCGGCCUGAGAGGGUGACCGGCCACAUUGGGACUGGGAUACGGCCCAGACUCCUACGGGAGGCAGCAGUGGGGAAUAUUGCACAAUGGGCGGAAGCCUGAUGCAGCAACGCCGCGUGCGGGAUGCCGGCCUUCGGGUUGUAAACCGCUUUCGCCUGUGACGAAGCGUGAGUGACGGUAAUGGGUAAAGAAGCACCGGCUAACUACGUG